CAGUCGCCGCGGUAAAACGAAGGUCCCGAGCGUUGUUCGGAAUCACUGGGCGUAAAGGGAGCGUAGGCGGCGUGGUAAGUCAGAUGUGAAAUCCCGGGGCUCAACCCCGGAACUGCAUCCGAUACUGCCAUGCUAGAGGAUUGGAGAGGUAGCUGGAAUUCUUGGUGUAGCAGUGAAAUGCGUGGAGAUCAAGAGGAACACUCGUGGCGAAAGCGAGCUACUGGACAAUAACUGACGCUGAGGCUCGAAGGCCAGGGUAGCGAAAGGGAUUAGAUACCCCAGUAGUCCCUGUCUCUUAUAC
rnacentral:rRNA from 1 species